rnacentral:rRNA from 1 species
GACGAACGCUGGCGGCGUGCUUAACACAUGCAAGUCGAACGGAAAGGCCCUGCUUUUGUGGGGUGCUCGAGUGGCGAACGGGUGAGUAACACGUGAGUAACCUGCCCUUGACUUUGGGAUAACUUCAGGAAACUGGGGCUAAUACCGGAUAGGAGCUCCUGCUGCAUGGUGGGGGUUGGAAAGUUUCGGCGGUUGGGGAUGGACUCGCGGCUUAUCAGCUUGUUGGUGGGGUAGUGGCUUACCAAGGCUUUGACGGGUAGCCGGCCUGAGAGGGUGACCGGCCACAUUGGGACUGAGAUACGGCCCAGACUCCUACGGGAGGCAGCAGUGGGGAAUAUUGCACAAUGGGCGGAAGCCUGAUGCAGCAACGCCGCGUGCGGGAUGACGGCCUUCGGGUUGUAAACCGCUUUCGCCUGUGACGAAGCGUGAGUGACGGUAAUGGGUAAAGAAGCACCGGCUAACUACGUGCCAGCAGCCGCGGUGAUACGUAGGGUGCGAGCGUUGUCCGGAUUUAUUGGGCGUAAAGGGCUCGUAGGUGGUUGAUCGCGUCGGAAGUGUAAUCUUGGGGCUUAACCCUGAGCGUGCUUUCGAUACGGGUUGACUUGAGGAAGGUAGGGGAGAAUGGAAUUCCUGGUGGAGCGGUGGAAUGCGCAGAUAUCAGGAGGAACACCAGUGGCGAAGGCGGUUCUCUGGGCCUUUCCUGACGCUGAGGAGCGAAAGCGUGGGGAGCGAACAGGCUUAGAUACCCUGGUAGUCCACGCUGUAAACGGUGGGUACUAGGUGUGGGGUCCAUUCCACGGGUUCCGUGCCGUAGCUAACGCUUUAAGUACCCCGCCUGGGGAGUACGGCCGCAAGGCUAAAACUCAAAGGAAUUGACGGGGCCCCGCACAAGCGGCGGAGCAUGCGGAUUAAUUCGAUGCAACGCGUAGAACCUUACCUGGGUUUGACAUGGAUCGGGAGUGCUCAGAGAUGGGUGUGCCUCUUUUGGGGUCGGUUCACAGGUGGUGCAUGGCUGUCGUCAGCUCGUGUCGUGAGAUGUUGGGUUAAGUCCCGCAACGAGCGCAACCCUUGUUCACUGUUGCCAGCACGUUAUGGUGGGGACUCAGUGGAGACCGCCGGGGUCAACUCGGAGGAAGGUGGGGAUGACGUCAAGUCAUCAUGCCCCUUAUGUCCAGGGCUUCACGCAUGCUACAAUGGCUGGUACAGAGAGUGGCGAGCCUGUGAGGGUGAGCGAAUCUCGGAAGGUCGGUCUCAGUUCGGAUUGGGGUCUGCAAUUCGACCUCAUGAAGUCGGAGUCGCUAGUAAUCGCAGGUCAGCAACGCUGCGGUGAAUACGUUCCCGGGGCA